GAUAUGUUUCCUGUGUGUUAAGUAUGUUCUCAUUUAGUUUAAACAAUAUUUAUUCAGAUAAAUCAAUAUUGUUUAAACUAAAUGAGAACGUACUUGACACACAGGGAACAUAUC
rnacentral:sRNA from 1 species